rnacentral:rRNA from 1 species
GACGAACGCUGGCGGCGUGCCUAAUACAUGCAAGUCGAGCGAAUGGAUUAAGAGCUUGCUCUUAUGAAGUUAGCGGCGGACGGGUGAGUAACACGUGGGUAACCUGCCCAUAAGACUGGGAUAACUCCGGGAAACCGGGGCUAAUACCGGAUAACAUUUUGAACCGCAUGGUUCGAAAUUGAAAGGCGGCUUCGGCUGUCACUUAUGGAUGGACCCGCGUCGCAUUAGCUAGUUGGUGAGGUAACGGCUCACCAAGGCAACGAUGCGUAGCCGACCUGAGAGGGUGAUCGGCCACACUGGGACUGAGACACGGCCCAGACUCCUACGGGAGGAAGCAGUAGGGAAUCUUCCGCAAUGGACGAAAGGCUGACGGAGCAACGCCGCGUGAGUGAUGAAGGCUUUCGGGUCGUAAAACUCUGUUGUUAGGGAAGAACAAGUGCUAGUUGAAUAAGCUGACACCUUGACGGUACCUAACCAGAAAGCCACGGCUAACUACGUGCCAGCAGCCGCCGCGG